AUGCCGCGGCCCGCGUGCGCCCGCUCCGGGGACUGCGCCUGCGCGGCCGGCCCUCACGGAGCCCGGGGAAGGUUGCGCCUGCGCAGUCGGCCCACUCCGGCCCGGGGGCGGGACUGCGCCUGCGCAGUCGGCCCAACCCAGCCCUGGGGGCGGGGCGACGCCUGUGGAAUCGCCCCUUCAGCGGCGCCUCGGCACCUAGAGCCGCCCGUCCGGCCGGGCCCCGGGGAGAGGCGGGCGUGCGGGCAUUGCGCCUGCGCGCGCCGGCCCCGCCCCCGGCCCCGCCCCGGCCGCGCGGGGCCCUGGGAGGGGUGCAGCGUCCGGCGGCUGCGGCGGCGGCGCGGGAGGGGCCGGGGGCGGACAAAGCCGAGGCCGAUGAAUGGGGCGCGUCCGCCUGCGCGGCCGUGGGGUCCCCGCGGAUUUUAUUCUUAAAUAAAUGCUCAGCCUCAGGCCUGGUUAGGCAGACAGCAGAAGAAGGCAGACCGCAGGCCCCUUGUCCGUGGGAGCAGUGGGAUGGCCCAGGGAGGCAGAGACUCCGAGAAGGUAAGCAGGGCGCUCGGGGCAGGAGAGGCCGACGGAGAGGGUGUUUGGUCCUGUGACUGGGCUGUGAAGUCAGGAGCAAGCAGAGUCUCACCUGACCGUUGUGGGAUCUCUCUCACACAUACUGAGGCUGACGUAUCCAUGACUGGAUUUGAAACGUGAGCGAGUCCUUGUCUUACUCGGUUCCAUCUGUUGUAGGUGACGCAGAAGGAGCACCAUGCCAUCAAGCCACCAGCGUCCCUGUGCCCGAGACCAGCAGGUCCGCCCCGUGUGCGCGCACGUCUGCCCCGCGAUGCGUUUACCGGGAGAACUCCGGGAGCGGCGUGAGGUGACACGCUCACGAGUUCGCCCGUCCACUGCUCAGUGAGAUUCAUGCUUAGCGUAUUCAUAAACAUCCUGAGAGAGAGAGUUCUUCGG
rnacentral:lncRNA from 1 species